UACGUAGGUGGCAAGCGUUAUCCGGAUUUACUGGGUGUAAAGGGAGCGUAGACGGCGGUGCAAGCCAGAUGUGAAAGCCCGGGGCUCAACCCCGGGACUGCAUUUGGAACUGUGCUGCUAGAGUGUCGGAGAGGCAGGCGGAAUUCCUAGUGUAGCGGUGAAAUGCGUAGAUAUAUGGAGGAACACCGGUGGCGAAAGCGGCUCUCUGGCCUGUAACUGACACUGAGGCUCGAAAGCGUGGGGAGCAAACAGG
rnacentral:rRNA from 1 species